UGAAGCGGGACMAGCUCAAACUUAAAAUCUCCGUUGCUUGCAACGGCGAAUUGUAGUCUCGAGAAGCGUUUUCAAGGCGGAUGCGCAGUACUUAAGUUGCUUGGAACGGCACAUCGUAGAGGGUGACAAUCCCGUACGUGGUACUGUGUAUCGUUCACGAUGCGCUUUCUAUGAGUCGGGUUGCUUGGGAAUGCAGCCCAAAAUGGGAGGUAAACUCCUUCUAAAGCUAAAUAUUGGCACGAGACCGAUAGCGAACAAGUACCGUGAGGGAAAGAUGAAAAGCACUUUGAAAAGAAAGUUAAUAGUACGUGAAACCGUUAGGAGGGAAGCGCAUGGAAUUAGCAAUGCACUGUCGAGAUUCAGGCGAUCGGUAGUGAGUACGGGCGUCGUACGGAUCCGAAUGGACCGUUGGCGUUCGUCACUUAUUUCUGGUUGUCGCAUUUCCCGUCAGUGUGCGUCAACAGGUGUUGGAACCGAGUGAUACGCCUCGCAAGAAGGUAGCUGGUUUCAGUGUUAUAGCUUGCGAUGUGCCAGCUUGGAUCCGACAGAGGUGUCGCAGCACAUGCCCUCACGGGCUGGCUUCUGUCGCCUCAGUUUGGCGUGACCAUAGCGGACUGCAUGCAGUGCGCUUGAACUUCGUCAAACUGUCGGUGGCUUGAACGCACACUAUGUGCUUAGGUUGUUGGCGGUCAUAUGGUUUCAUGCGACCCGUCUUGAAACACGGACCAAGGAGUCUAACAUGUGUGCGAGUCUUAGGGUGAUUGAAACCCGCAGGCACAAUGAAAGUAAAGGCUCUUCGGAGCUGAAGGUGAGAUCUCUUUGACUUCGGUUGAAGAGCGCAUCAUCGACCGACCUAUUCUACUCUUAGAAAGGUUUGAGUAAGAGCACAUCUGUUGGGACCCGAAAGAUGGUGAACUAU
rnacentral:rRNA from 1 species